rnacentral:tRNA from 1 species
CCUGCUGCGGAUCGCGGUACGGGACCCCCGGCUGCUGCCCGCGCUGGCGGUGUUCGUGACGGCGGCGUUCGUCUCCCGGCGGCGGGC